rnacentral:rRNA from 1 species
GACGAACGCUGGCGGAAUGGAUUAGGCAUGCAAGUCGUACGAGAUUUAUACCUUCGGGUAUAUUGAGAGUGGCAAACGGGUGAGUAACGCGUGGGUAUCUGCCUUUAAGCGGGGGAUAACUCAGGGAAACUUGAGCUAAUACCGCAUGUGGCAUUAAUGUUAAAGGUGGCCUCUAUUUAUAAGCUACCGCUUAGAGAUGAGCCUGCGUACUAUUAGCUAGUUGGUGGGGUAAUGGCCUACCAAGGCAAUGAUAGUUAGGCGGCCUUAACGGGUGGUCGCCCACACUGGGAUUGAGAUACGGCCCAGACUCCUACGGGAGGCAGCAGUCGAGAAUAGUCUACAAUGGACGAAAGUCUUGAUAGUGCAAUUCCGCGUGGAUGAAGAAGCAUUUCGGUGUGUAAAAUCCUUUUCUUUGUGAGCAAAGAUUUGAAGGUGAAUAAUUUUUAAAUUAAGAUAUUAGCAAAGGAAUAAGCCUCGGCUAACUCCGUGCCAGCAGCCGCGGUAAUACGGGGGAGGCAAGCGUUGUCCGGAAUCACUAGGCGUAAAGGGCAAGCAGGCGGAUUGGUAAGUUACGGGUUAAAUCUGGAGGCUCAACCUCCAGCCAGCUUGUGAUACUGCCCAUCUAGAGUCAGACAGGGGAAGACGGAAUUCCCGGUGUAGCGGUGGAAUGCGCAGAUAUCGGGAGGAACACUCAUGGCGAAGGCAGUUUUCUGGGUCAUGACUGACGCUCAAUUGCGAAGGUGUGGGUAUCAAACAGGAUUAGAUACCCUGGUAGUCCACACAGUAAACGAUAAACACUAGGUGUUGGUGGAGAUAAUCCAUCGGUGCCGUAGCUAACGCGUUAAGUGUUUCGCCUGGGGAGUACGAUCGCAAGAUUGAAACUCAAAGGAAUUGACGGGGACCCGCACAAGCGGUGGAGCAUGUGGUUUAAUUCGAUGCAACGCGAAGAACCUUACCUGGGUUUGACAUGUAUAAGAAUCUUCCAGAGAUGGAGGAGUGCUGGUUUUCCAGAGCUUUUACACAGGUGCUGCAUGGCUGUCGUCAGCUCGUGUCGUGAGAUGUUGGGUUAAGUCCCGCAACGAGCGCAACCCUUAUCCUUAGUUGCCAUCAUUAAGUUGGGGACUCUAGGGAGACUGCCAGCGUAGAAAGCUGGAGGAAGGUGGGGACGACGUCAAGUCAUCAUGGUCCUUAUGUCCAGGGCUACACACGUGCUACAAUGGUUGGUACAAAGAGCAGCGAGACAGUAAUGUUAAGCGAAUCUCAUAAAGCCAAUCUCAGUUCGGAUUGAGGUCUGCAACUCGACCUCAUGAAGUCGGAAUCGCUAGUAAUCGUGCGUCAGAACAGCACGGUGAAUACGUUCCCGGGUCUUGUACACACCGCCCGUCAAGUCAGCCGAAUUGAGUGCACCCGAAGAAGGUGAGCUAACCGUAAGGGAGCAGCUUUCGAAGGUGUGCUUAGUAAGGGGG